UGUAUAUGAUGAUAAAAAAUUUUAGUCAGUUCUGCUACUGAUAAGAACUUGAUGAAAGUUGCAUUCUGAUAA